CUCAGGACGAACGCUGGCGGCGUGCCUAAUACAUGCAAGUCGUACGCUUUUUCUUUCACCGGAGCUUGCUCCACCGAAAGAAAAGGAGUGGCGAACGGGUGAGUAACACGUGGGUAACCUGCCCAUCAGAAGGGGAUAACACUUGGAAACAGGUGCUAAUACCGUAUAACAAUCGAAACCGCAUGGUUUUGAUUUGAAAGGCGCUUUCGGGUGUCGCUGAUGGAUGGACCCGCGGUGCAUUAGCUAGUUGGUGAGGUAACGGCUCACCAAGGCCACGAUGCAUAGCCGACCUGAGAGGGUGAUCGGCCACAUUGGGACUGAGACACGGCCCAAACUCCUACGGGAGGCAGCAGUAGGGAAUCUUCGGCAAUGGACGAAAGUCUGACCGAGCAACGCCGCGUGAGUGAAGAAGGUUUUCGGAUCGUAAAACUCUGUUGUUAGAGAAGAACAAGGAUGAGAGUAACUGUUCAUCCCUUGACGGUAUCUAACCAGAAAGCCACGGCUAACUACGUGCCAGCAGCCGCGGUAAUACGUAGGUGGCAAGCGUUGUCCGGAUUUAUUGGGCGUAAAGCGAGCGCAGGCGGUUUCUUAAGUCUGAUGUGAAAGCCCCCGGCUCAACCGGGGAGGGUCAUUGGAAACUGGGAGACUUGAGUGCAGAAGAGGAGAGUGGAAUUCCAUGUGUAGCGGUGAAAUGCGUAGAUAUAUGGAGGAACACCAGUGGCGAAGGCGACUCUCUGGUCUGUAACUGACGCUGAGGCUCGAAAGC
rnacentral:rRNA from 1 species